rnacentral:rRNA from 1 species
AUGGUUCAACCUCUUUUCGGUCUCACAACCCCUCCGCGCAUGAUAGAAAAAAGAAAAGAAAAGAAAAUAAAAAACCCACAAGUACGCACGUCCCAACUCCCACCUCCCACUUCCCACUCCUUCCGCCAGAUCCUCGCUCUCGAUCCGGUGUCUCUGCAGAGACGAAUCGCCGCCGCCGGCCUAUUCCCGCCUACGUCGACCUUGAGCGGCAACACAAUGCAGCCAGACUUCUAUACUAGAUUGGAGCGGUGGAUCUACAUCUAUCUCUUCUUCACCGAGUCCACGAGGUACUCGACGUGGCAGGGGCGACGAACAGGAGCACCACAUCGACAGCAGCGACGAACGACGGCCCAGGUGUUGCCAUCUCCUUAUCUUCGAUCCAACCCAUCUUCCCCUCGUAUCCUGUACUCCCGCACCCCCUCAUUCUUCUCUCCCGUGGCAGGGACCGACGAGUUGCAACGGACGGGGGGCAGUCCGGCUGCUGGCGUAAAGGACGACGGGUGGUGGUAG